rnacentral:rRNA from 1 species
UACGUAGGGAGCGAGCGUUGUCCGGAAUUACUGGGCGUAAAGGGCGCGUAGGCGGGGACUUAAGUUAGGUGUGAAAACUUCGGGCUUAACCUGAAGACUGCACUUAAAACUGGGUUUCUUGAGGGCAGGAGAGGAAAGUGGAAUUCCUAGUGUAGCGGUGAAAUGCGUAGAUAUUAGGAGGAACACCAGUGGCGAAGGCGACUUUCUGGACUGUACCUGACGCUGAGGCGCGAAAGCAUGGGGAGCGAACAGG